AUUAAACGCUGGCGGCAUGCCUUACACAUGCAAGUCGAACGGCAGCACGGGGGCAACCCUGGUGGCGAGUGGCGAACGGGUGAGUAAAGCAUCGGAACGUGCCCUAGAGUGGGGGAUAACGUAGCGAAAGUUACGCUAAUACCGCAUAUUCUGUGAGCAGGAAAGCAGGGGAUCGCAAGACCUUGCGCUUUGGGAGCGGCCGAUGUCGGAUUAGCUAGUUGGUGGGGUAAAGGCCUACCAAGGCGACGAUCCGUAGCGGGUCUGAGAGGAUGAUCCGCCACACUGGGACUGAGACACGGCCCAGACUCCUACGGGAGGCAGCAGUGGGGAAUUUUGGACAAUGGGCGAAAGCCUGAUCCAGCCAUGCCGCGUGAGUGAAGAAGGCCUUCGGGUUGUAAAGCUCUUUCGGUGGGGAAGAAAUUGCACGGGUUAAUACCCUGUGUAGAUGACGGUACCUGGAGAAGAAGCACCGGCUAACUACGUG
rnacentral:rRNA from 1 species